rnacentral:rRNA from 1 species
UACGUAGGGAGCAAGCGUUGUCCGGAUUUAUUGGGCGUAAAGCGCUUGUAGGCGGCACGUCAAGUCGCGUGUGAAAUCCCCAGGCUUAACCUGGGAAGUGCGCGCGAAACUGACGAGCUUGAGUGCCGGAGAGGGUCGCGGAAUUCCCGGUGUAGAGGUGAAAUUCGUAGAUAUCGGGAGGAACACCAGUGGCGAAGGCGGCGACCUGGACGGACACUGACGCUGAGACGCGAAAGCGUGGGGAGCAAACAGG